rnacentral:rRNA from 1 species
GAUGAACGCUAGCGACAGGCCUAACACAUGCAAGUCGAGGGGCAGCGCGGAGCAAGCUUGCUUGUUCUGGCGGCGACCGGCGCACGGGUGCGUAACACGUAUGCAACCUGCCCUUGUCAGGGGGAUAAGCGAGGGAAACCUCGUCUAAUACCGCAUACUAUCGCUAUGCUGCAUGGCAUGGCGAUGAAAACUCCGGUGGUGGCGGAUGGGCAUGCGGCGCAUUAGCUAGUUGGUGGGGUAACGGCUCACCAAGGCGACGAUCAGUAGCCGAACUGAGAGGUUGAUCGGCCACAUUGGGACUGAGACACGGCCCAGACUCCUACGGGAGGCAGCAGUGGGGGAUAUUGCGCAAUGGGGGGCAACCCGUGACGCAGCAACGCCGCGUGAAGGAAGAAGGUUUUCGGAUCGUAAACUUCUUUAAGUGUGGAAGAAAUUGACGGUACACACAGAAUAAGCCACGGCUAACUACGUGCCAGCAG